rnacentral:lncRNA from 1 species
AUCCCGGGCCGCGGGAGCGAGCGCUGCGGCUGGACGGAGGGGCUUCGGGUGGCCGAUCCCGCGGAUGAGCGCCGCUCUAGAAACAAGCAAAAACAAAGUUCAGGGGAAGAGACCGAAUGGAGGAAACUACGGUGUCUUCGUUGCCGCUUCCGGGUGGGAUGGCACCUGCGGUGGAGGAGGGAUUGAAGUGCCUUUGAGAACUUUAGCGGGAGGUGGGUUAUUCCGAAGGAAUUUGGCCCCAGGUUAUCGGAGCAGAGGGAUAAUUGCGGGUUUUAGGAUCCAGACGUGGUACGGGUGAAAAUGCUUCGUGCUUGCUUGAAGUUAAACCCGGCGGGGGAACGAUUGUUCCCACUGAACGUUCCCACAGGAGAACCCUUGGAGACACUACCUUUCCCACAGAAUUUCAUUCAAGGAGCUCAAAGGCCAGGAAAUCUUUUGAAAAGGUACCAUCUACCUGGAGGGCAUCAUCCUGAGUGAGGUAACCCAAUCACAAAAGAACUCGCACAAUAUGUACUCACUGAUAAGUGGAUAUUAGCCCAGUGCUUAGAAUACCCAAGAUACAAGAUACAAUUUGCAAAACACAUGAAACUCAAGAAGAACGAAGACCAAAGUGUGGACACUUUGCCCCUUCUUAGAAUUGGGAAUAAAACACCCAUGGAAGGAGUUACAGAGACAAAGUUUGGAGCUGAAACGAAAGGAUGGACCAUCUAGAGACUGCCAUAUCCAGGGAUCCAUCCCAUAAUCAGCCUCCAAACGCUGACACCAUUGCAUAUACCAGCAAGAUUUUGCUGAAAGGACCCAGAUAUAGCUGUCUCUUGUGAGACUAGGCUGGGGCCUAGCAAACACAGAAGUGGAUGCUCAUAGUCAGUCAGCUAUUGGAUGGAUCACAGGGCCCCCAGUGGAGAAGCUAGAGAAAGUACCCAAGGAGCUAAAGGGGUCUGCAACCCCAUAGGUGGAACAACAAUAUGAACUAACCAGUACCUCCAGAGCUCAUGUCUCUAGCUCCAUAUGUAGCAGAAGAUGGCCUAGUCGGUCAUCAGUGGAAAGAGAGGCCCAUUGGUCAUGCAAACUUUAUAUGCCCAGUACAGGGGAACGCCAGGGCCAAGAAGUGGGAGUGGGAGGGUGGGGGAGUGGGUGGGGGAGCGUGUAGGGGACUUUUGGGAUAGCAUUGGAAAUAUAAAUGAAGAAAGUACCUAAUAAAAAUAAAU